GACGUAGGGAGCGAGCGUUGUCCGGAUUCAUUGGGCGUAAAGAGCGCGCAGGCGGUUUGGUAAGUCGGAUGUGAAAUCCCGGGGCUCAACCCCGGACCUGCAUCCGAUACUGCCCGACUAGAGGUAGGUAGGGGAGAUCGGAAUUCCUGGUGUAGCGGUGAAAUGCGCAGAUAUCAGGAGGAACACCGGUGGCGAAGGCGGAUCUCUGGGCCUUACCUGACGCUGAGGAGCGAAAGUGUGGGGAGCGAACAGG
rnacentral:rRNA from 1 species